UACGAUCACACUACUUUGAAACACCGUUUCAACAUAUGAUCACCGAAGUUAAACAACGUCGAGCCUGGUCAGUAUCUAGAUGGGUGACCACUUGGGAAUACCAGGUACUGUAA